rnacentral:lncRNA from 1 species
GCCAUAUGUGUUGGUUGUCCUUAUAACCAAAUGGUAUAGAAACACUGGUAUGGCAUGCAGAUGAGAUGCAGGAGUAUAUCAUCACUGAACAUAACCAACUACAGAGCACUCUGCUAUCAAGAGUAGCUCACGAAGGGUAUGGAUAUAAGUAUCCCUCCGAACUGAGAUCACCAUGGUGACUUACAAACAACUCACUGUACUUUGAUGCCGGACUAACUAAGUUUCUAAU